GGAUGUAGAAGAUUAUAGUGAAGAUGUUUACGAAUAUGAAGCAGACUAUUGUUACAUUGACAAUCCCAUGGUGCAAGGCUGCGCUAUGGACUUUGCACCUCAAAUGGAUGUAGAAGGUGAUGGUGUAGAGGUUUACGACGUAAGUUAACAUGUUUAGCUUCCUAUAAAAAUGUGUUUAUUUGCUAAAUUUUAGCAAACAAUUGCUAAGGGCAACUAAGUGCAUACUAGAUUGUAUAUUAAAAGUCAAGUAAUUCUGUCAAGAAAAAUUAAUUACUCCAGUUUUAUAUGCAGUUAAAAAAGUCAUUGACAUGUAGGUGUUUAUGUAAAAAAUCCAAUUUCCCUCAUCUAAAAUUAUAAUUUGCAACAGUAUUACACAGUAUAGAUGUUAAAUGAAUUUAAAACGAGCUCAAAUUUAUACUUAUCCUUGUACUUAUUUUAGUUAUCCCAUUAGCAAUUGAGGCCUACUAUUUCCCGGUACCGGUCUACGGUCUCAUCAGGUCCUUGUAUGCAAUACUAUAAAGUAGCUAUUGGUUGUAAUGGUAGCGGAAGCCAUUUGAUGGAAGUAUUCGGCCAAUCAAUAAAAAUAUGUAAAUUUCUAAAAUUAUGCUUUUGAUUUUAGGACAUCAUUUAAAUAAAUUAGAAUAUUUGUCCGGUUUUAACCGAAAGUUCCAGAACGGAAAACAUCAUUAAAUGCUAUUAAAUAAUUGUAA